GUAGUCCCGGCAGCACAUAUACUAAAAUUGGGAGGAUACAAGAAAAUUAGUAUGGCCCCUGCACAAGGAUGACGUGCAAAUUCGUGAAGCGUCCCAUAUUUUU
rnacentral:snRNA from 1 species